AGACCUUAUGCUUGCAAGGCACCACGGAGCUGCAUCUGCAGCCCUACACACUGGUUAUCAAGAACCGGCUUUGCCACUGCUCUCAGCCACCUCCGUCUCUGUGAAAAAUGCUCCAGUGGCAAACCUAGUUGAAACAAUUCCAGGAGCCUCGACUAGCAAUCAAGUUGGGAGAAAAGUACACAGAACAUUCUCCAAACGCAGCCGUGCUGUGAGCUGUGUCCACAGCCAGGCGCUGUGGUGGGGCCUGGCACCCUCCCUUCCCUCCCUGGACUUCACCACGAGCGGUGGGCAGAGUCUGCGAGCAGUCUAAUGACCCAGGACAUUUUACUCCCAGCACCAACGUGAUGAAUGAGAACACUGCCAAGUCUCAAGUAUAUAUUUAAAGCGCU
rnacentral:lncRNA from 1 species